AUUGAACGCUGGCGGCAUGCCUUACACAUGCAAGUCGAACGGUAACAGGUCUUCGGAUGCUGACGAGUGGCGAACGGGUGAGUAAUACAUCGGAACGUGCCCGAUCGUGGGGGAUAACGGAGCGAAAGCUUUGCUAAUACCGCAUACGAUCUACGGAUGAAAGCAGGGGACCGCAAGGCCUUGCGCGGACGGAGCGGCCGAUGGCAGAUUAGGUAGUUGGUGGGAUAAAAGCUUACCAAGCCGACGAUCUGUAGCUGGUCUGAGAGAACGACCGGCCACACUGGGACUGAGACAUGGCCCAGACUCCUACGGGAGGCAGCAGUGGGGAAUUUUGGACAAUGGGCGCAAGCCUGAUCCAGCCAUGCCGCGUGCAGGAUGAAGGCCUUCGGGUUGUAAACUGCUUUUGUACGGAACGAAAAGACUCUUUCUAAUAAAGAGGGUCCAUGACGGUACCGUAAGAAUAAGCACCGGCUAACUACGUGCCAGCAGCAGCCGCGG
rnacentral:rRNA from 1 species